AUACGUAGGGGGCGAGCGUUGUCCGGAAUGAUUGGGCGUAAAGGGCGCGUAGGCGGCCCGGUAAGUCUGGAGUGAAAGUCCUGUUUUUAAGAUGGGAAUUGCUUUGGAUACUGUCGGGCUUGAGUGCAGGAGAGGUAAGUGGAAUUCCCAGUGUAGCGGUGAAAUGCGUAGAGAUUGGGAGGAACACCAGUGGUGAAGGCGACUUACUGGACUGUAACUGACGCUGAGGCGCGAAAGUGUGGGGAGCAAACAGGAUUAGAUACCCUGGUAGUCCACACUGUAAACGAUGAAUGCUAGGUGUAGGGGGUAUCGACCCCUUCUGUGCCGCAGUCAACACAAUAAGCAUUCCGCCUGGGGAGUACGGCCGCAAGGUUGAAACUCAAAUGAAUUGACGGGG
rnacentral:rRNA from 1 species